UAUAGUUUAAAAAAAAGAAAAAAUAUGUGCAGUGAACUCAAACACCUUUCGGAUUUAAAUAUCAUACCAACGGUGUCCAGAUCAAACCGUAACAACAGGCGAAAAUUGCUGCAUUUUGAACUUUACAACUUAAAAUUGAAAUUCGCUCUUGUUCUAAACUCGAAUCGUCAAAAAGAUUUUUUGGAGAGAAAAUAUUCUGGAAAAAAAAUAACCAGACAUGGAAAAAAAAGGUUUGA